GACGAACGCUGGCGGCGUGCUUAACACAUGCAAGUCGAACGGAAAGGCCCUGCUUUUGUGGGGUGCUCGAGUGGCGAACGGGUGAGUAACACGUGAGUAACCUGCCCUUGACUUUGGGAUAACUUCAGGAAACUGGGGCUAAUACCGGAUAGGAGCUCCUGCUGCAUGGUGGGGGUUGGAAAGUUUCGGCGGUUGGGGAUGGACUCGCGGCUUAUCAGCUUGUUGGUGGGGUAGUGGCUUACCAAGGCUUUGACGGGUAGCCGGCCUGAGAGGGUGAACGGCCACAUUGGGACUGAGAUACGGCCCAGAAUCCUACGGGAGGCAGCAGUGGGGAAUAUUGCACAAUGGGCGCAAGCCUGAUGCAGCAACGCCGCGUGCGGGAUGACGGCCUUCGGGUUGUAAACCGCUUUCGCCUGUGACGAAGCGUGAGUGACGGUAAUGGGUAAAGAAGCACCGGCUAACUACGUG
rnacentral:rRNA from 1 species